CCGGAGGGGCGGAGAAUCGCUUCCGGCGCAAGCCGGGGGAGGAAAGUCCGAACUCCGCAGGGCGCGAUGCCGCGUAACCCGCAAGGGAUACACGCGGGAGGAGGGCUGGAAGGCCCUUCGACGGACAGUGCCACAGAAAACAAACCGCCGACGGCCCGCAAGGGCCGCCGGCAAGGGUGAAAAGGUGCGGUAAGAGCGCACCGCGCCAAGCGCAAGCGAGGCGGCACGGAAAACCCCAUCGGGAGCAAGGCCAAAUAGGGGGCCGAUUGGAGCGGCCCGCUCCAUGUCCCGUUACGGCGGGACCGGCUCCGGGUAUCGGCCGCUCAGACAAAUGAUUCUCUCCGCCCGCAAGGGCGCAGACAGAAUUCGGCUUACAGCCCCUCCGGGACC
rnacentral:RNase_P_RNA from 1 species